UCUUAUAGAUAAGCAAAGAGAGUGGUUUCUUGAGAUGGAAUCUGCUCCUGGUGAACAUGCUGUGAA
rnacentral:pre_miRNA from 2 species